rnacentral:rRNA from 1 species
AACGAACGCUGGCGGCAUGCCUAACACAUGCAAGUCGAACGAGACCUUCGGGUCUAGUGGCGCACGGGUGCGUAACGCGUGGGAACCUGCCCUUAGGUUCGGAAUAACUCCCCGAAAGGGGUGCUAAUACCGGAUAAUGUCUUCGGACCAAAGAUUUAUCGCCUUUGGAUGGGCCCGCGUUGGUUUAGCUAGUUGGUAGGGUAAAAGCCUACCAAGGCGACGAUCCAUAGCUGGUCUGAGAGGAUGAUCAGCCACACUGGGACUGAGACACGGCCCAGACUCCUACGGGAGGCAGCAGUGGGGAAUAUUGGACAAUGGGCGAAAGUCUGAUCCAGCAAUGCCGCGUGAGUGAUGAAGGCCUUAGGGUUGUAAAGCUCUUUUACCCGGGAUGAUAAUGACAGUACCGGGAGAAUAAGCACCGGCUAACUCCGUG